GGAUGCGAUCAUAACAACACUAAUUCAAUGGAUCCAGUCAGAACUUUGAAGGUAAACAUGUUUGAGCGAGCGAUAGUAGAAUGUUUACCCUACCAUACCAAGAAGUCCUCUUGUUGCAUCCC
rnacentral:rRNA from 1 species